CAGCCGCCACGGUAAAACGUAGGUGGCAAGCGUUGUCCGGAAUUAUUGGGCGUAAAGGGCUCGCAGGCGGUUUCUUAAGUCUGAUGUGAAAGCCCCCGGCUCAACCGGGGAGGGUCAUUGGAAACUGGGAAACUUGAGUGCAGAAGAGGAGAGUGGAAUUCCACGUGUAGCGGUGAAAUGCGUUGAGAUGUGGAGGAACACCAGUGGCGAAGGCGACUCUCUGGUCUGUAACUGACGCUGAGGAGCGAAAGCGUGGGGAGCGAACAGGAUUAGAUACCCCUGUAGUCCCUGUCUCUUAUAC
rnacentral:rRNA from 1 species